UGGAGCGAGUAAAGCGGCAAACGGGUGAGUAACACGUAAGUAACUUUCCUCUAAGUUGGGAAUGAGGCCUGCCAACGCGGGGUUAAUACCGAAUGUGGUCAGAAAGUCGCAUGGUUUUCUGACUAAAGGUGGCUUCGGCUACCGCUUAGAGAUGGGCUUGCGCACCAUUAGCUUGUUGGUGGGGUAAUGGCCUACCAAGGCUUUGAUGGUUAGCCGACCUGAGAGGGUGAUCGGCCACAUUGGGACUGAGAUACGGGCCAGACUCCUACGGGAGGCAGCAGUAGGGAAUUUUGCGCAAUGGACGAAAGUCUGACGCAGCAACGCCGCGUGAGGGAUGAAGGGUUUCGGCUCGUAAACCUCUGUUGAGUAGGAAGAAACGUCAUGGGGUUAAUACCCUCAUGGCCUGACGGUACUACUCGAGGAAGCUCCGGCUAACUACGUGCCAGCAGCCGCGGUAAUACGUAGGGGGCGAGCGUUGUUCGGAAUCACUGGGCGUAGAGGGAGCGUAGGCGGGAAGGUAAGUCAGAAGUCUAGCACAUGGGCUUA
rnacentral:rRNA from 1 species